rnacentral:rRNA from 1 species
AACGAACGCUGGCGGCAUGCCUAACACAUGCAAGUCGAACGAGACCUUCGGGUCUAGUGGCGCACGGGUGCGUAACGCGUGGGAACCUGCCUUUAGGUUCGGAAUAACUCAGAGAAAUUUGAGCUAAUACCGGAUAAUGUCUUCGGACCAAAGAUUUAUCGCCUUUAGAUGGGCCCGCGUUGGAUUAGCUAGUUGGUGGGGUAAAGGCCUACCAAGGCGACGAUCCAUAGCUGGUCUGAGAGGAUGAUCAGCCACACUGGGACUGAGACACGGCCCAGACUCCUACGGGAGGCAGCAGUGGGGAAUAUUGGACAAUGGGCGAAAGCCUGAUCCAGCAAUGCCGCGUGAGUGAUGAAGGCCUUAGGGUGUAAAGCUCUUUUACCCGAGAUGAUAAUGACAGUAUCGGGAGAAUAAGCUCCGGCUAACUCCGUGCCAGCAGCCGCGGUAAAGUGAC